AUGUGUAGUCAGGUUACUCUAUCGGAGGAGCCUGACAGAGUUAAAUGGCUUUUAACUAAAUCUGGAUCCUUCUCGGUUAAGUCGCUUUAUCAUUACCUUAUAGCUAGAGUUGUUGCUUUUCCUUUUAAACUUCUUUGGAGGUUGAGAAUACCUCUAAAAGUAAAAGCAUUUAUAUGGUUAGUGAUCAAAGGGAGGAUCCUAACCAAGGAUAACUUAUCUAGACGAGGGUGGAAAGGACCAAAUUUCUGCGAGUUUUGUGGUGUUUCUGAGAGCAUUGAUCAUCUAUUCUUUUCGUGUUCUUGUGCUAGGUUUUUAUGGAAUGUGAUAUGCGGUACACUAGGUAACCCGAAAUUACCUUUAUCUUUCUUUGAUCUUUGUCAAAACUGGAUACCAUCCUAUUCUGGAAAGGAUAGGGCUAUUGUUUCUAUUGGUGCUGCUGCUUUGAUAUGGACAAUUUGGAAAACAAGGAACAAAUCCUGUUUUCAACGUGUUUUCCUUUCAAAUCCUAUCAAUGUAAUAUUUACCCUAUGUUCUUUGUUGGAUUCAUGGAUGAUUCUGCAGAGAAAAGGUGUGCAAAAAAUGCUUAGGGAGGUUUCCAAGAGGCUAUCUCGGGUAGCAAAUGAAGUCUACAGAAGAACAUAUGGGUGGAAUCCUUCUGCUCUAAGACUGGGUUUUGUGUCUACCUGA
rnacentral:rRNA from 1 species